UGCCGCGUGCAGGAUGACGGUCCUAUGGAUUGUAAACUGCUUUUGUACGAAAAAAAACACUCCUAUGUAUAGGAGCUUGACGGUAUCGUAAGAAUAAGGAUCGGCUAACUCCGUGCCAGCAGCCGCGGUAAUACGGAGGAUCCAAGCGUUAUCCGGAAUCAUUGGGUUUAAAGGGUCCGUACGCGGUUUAAUAAGUCAGUGGUGAAAGCCCAUCGCUCAAGGGUGGAACGGCCAUUGAUACUGUUAAACUUGAAUUAUUAUGAAGUAACUAGAAUAUGUAGUGUAGCGGUGAAAUGCUUAAAGAUUACAUGGAAUACCAAUUGCGAAGGCUGGUUACUACUAAUUGAUUGACGCUGAUGGACGAAAGCGUGGGUAGCGAACAGGAUUACAUACCCUGGUAGUCCACGCCGUAAACGAUGGAUACUACCUGUUGGGAGCAAUCUCAGUGGCUAAGCGAAAGUGAUAAGUAUCCCACCUGGGGAGUACGUUCGCAAGAAUGAAACUCAGAGGAAUUGACGGGGGCCCGCACAAGCGGUGGAACAUGUGGUUUAAUUCGAUGAUACGCGAGGAACCUUACCAAGGCUUAAAUGUACAUUGACCGGUUUGGAAACAGAUCUUUCGCAAGA
rnacentral:rRNA from 1 species